UGGGUCUUAAAGGUAUCUUUUGGUGCGGGAUGUUAGUAUAUAGUGAAACCACGUCUACCGAGGCUAAAAUAUAACCAGGUUUCCACUGUAUUAGUUGUAAAUCUUUUAACAGAUACUUUGUCUUUUAUAUAUGAUGGUAUAAUGUGUACUGUAACAAAACCCUGCCAUGUGCGUGGGAAUGUUCCCUGUUAACGGCCCUUUAAGAACUAGCCAGGGACAUAUGCUAAAACAGAGACCUUGGAUUAAAAGUAUAUAUAUUUUCCUGACUUACAGGACAUCACGAC